rnacentral:rRNA from 1 species
AUUGAACGCUGGCGGCAUGCCUUACACAUGCAAGUCGAACGGCAGCACGGGUGCUUGCACCUGGUGGCGAGUGGCGAACGGGUGAGUAAUAUAUCGGAACGUACCCUAUCGUGGGGGAUAACUAUCCGAAAGGAUAGCUAAUACCGCAUACGCCCUGAGGGGGAAAGCGGGGGACCGUAAGGCCUCGCGCGAUUGGAGCGGCCGAUAUCUGAUUAGCUAGUUGGUGAGGUAAAGGCUCACCAAGGCGACGAUCAGUAGCUGGUCUGAGAGGACGAUCAGCCACACUGGGACUGAGACGCGGCCCAGACUCCUACGGGAGGCAGCAGUGGGGAAUUUUGGACAAUGGGGGCAACCCUGAUCCAGCAAUGCCGCGUGUGUGAAGAAGGCCUUCGGGUUGUAAAGCACUUUUGUCCGGAACGAAACAGUUUGGGCUAAUACCCCGAGCUAAUGACGGUACCGGAAGAAUAAGCACCGGCUAACUACGUGCCAGCAGCCGCCGUAAUAC